GCUGGGGUGGCUCAGUGGUAGAGCACUUGCCUUGCAUGCUCGAGGCCCUGGGUUCGAUUCCUCAGCA
rnacentral:tRNA from 1 species